AGAACGAACGCUGGCGGCAUGCCUAAUACAUGCAAGUCGAACGAACACUUCGGUGUUAGUGGCGCACGGGUGCGUAACGCGUGGGAAUCUGCCCUUGGGUUCGGAAUAACAGUUGGAAACGACUGCUAAUACCGGAUGAUAUCGAAAGAUCAAAGAUUUAUCGCCCAGGGAUGAGCCCGCGUAGGAUUAGCUAGUUGGUGAGGUAAAGGCUCACCAAGGCGACGAUCCUUAGCUGGUCUGAGAGGAUGAUCAGCCACACUGGGACUGAGACACGGCCCAGACUCCUACGGGAGGCAGCAGUAGGAAUAUU
rnacentral:rRNA from 1 species